CACUCAGGGACACAGAACUGGGCACUGCAACCAUAGCAGGGACAGUGCAGCCAGCUGAAGUGACACUGCAGGUGCAGUGCAAUGACUGCAGGAUCCCUGUAUCCUCCUUCAUGAUCACUGAAUACUCUAUCACAACAGAAGGCAUCCACCAUGCGGAACACUGCAUCCAAUGCACGACCACUGUAUCCACAUGCAGGUAAACUGGAGGAGGCACUGCAACCACUAAAGGAUGACUGCAUCCACCUUCAUUAGCACUGCAUCCUCCGUCACAUCAUACUGCAUGCACAUUGUGGGACACUGCAUCCACUGCAUGGGCUCUUCAUCGACAUUCCAGGACAUUGCAGGGGGCAUUGCAAUCACUGCAGGGACACUGCAUCCAGCUGAAGUGGCACUGAAGGUGUACUGCAACCACUGAAGUUUCACCGCAUCCAUCUUCAUGGGCACUGCAUCCUCCGACAAAACAUACUGCAUCUGUCUUUUGAGACACUACAUGCACUGCAUGACCUUUGCAUCCACAUUAUAGGACACUGCAAGGAGCACUACAGCCAUGGCAGGGAGACUGAAUCCACCUUCAUGGGCACUGCAUACUCUGUCACAACAUACUGCAUGAAACUUAGGUACACUGCAUCCACUACAGGGACACUGCAUCCAGAUGAAGUGGCACUGCAGUCGCACUGCCAUCACAGAAGAUUCACUGCAUCAACUGCAUUGGCACUGCAUCAAUAUUUGAGGACAAUGCCGGGGGCACUGCAACCACUGGAGGGACACUGCAUCUCCCUUCUUGGGCACUGCAUCCUCCGUCACAACAUACUGCAUAAAUCUUUAGGUACACUGCCUCCAUUGCCUGGGAACCGCAUCCACAUUCCUGGACAAUGCAGGGGCACUGCUUCCAGCUGAUGUGGAGAUGCAGGCACACUGUAAUCACUGCAGGAUCACUGCAUCCAAUGCAUGUUCAGAGCAUGCACAUUCAGGGACACAGCAGGUUGCACUGCACCCACUGCCAGAUCACUGCAUCCAACAUCAUGGGCACUGCAUCCUCCGUCACAGCAUACUACAUGCACCUUGUGGGACACUGCGUCGAAUGCCUGGGCACUGCAUCCACGUUCUCAGACAAUGCAGUGGCCAAUGAAACCACUGCAGGGACACUGCCUACAGCUGAAGUCGCACUGCAGGUGCACUACAUUCAGCACAUGCUCACUGCAUCCACCUUCAUGGGCACUCCAUCUUCCAUCACUUCAUACGACAUCCACCUUGUGGGACACUGCAACUACUGCAUGGGGACUGCAUCCACAUUCAGGGAACUGUAGGGGGCACUGCAACCACGGCAGCAUCACUGCAUCCACCUUCAUGGGCCCUGCAUGCUCCAUCACAACAUACUGCAUCCACCCGGUGGGACACUGCAUCCACUGCAGGAGCACUGCAUCCACAUUCCAGGAAAAUGCAAGGGGCAUUGCAACCACUGCAAUGACACUGGAUCCAGCUGAGGUGGCACCGCAUCCUCCAUCACAACAUACUGCAUAAACCUUUAGGUACACUGCAUCCACUGCCUGGGCACCACAUCCACAUUCCCCGACAAUGCUGGGGCACUGCAAACAGUGCAUGGGCACUGAAUUCACCUUCAGGGACACAGAAGGCGGCACUGCAACCACUGCAGCAACACUGCUUCCAGCUGAUGAGGAAAUGCAGGCGCACUGCAAUUACUGCAGGAUCACUGCAUCCAAUGCAUGUUCACAGCAUCCACAUUCAGGGACACAUCAGGGUGCACUGCACCCACUGCAGGGACACUGCAUCCCCCUUCAUGGGCACUGCAUCCUCCGUCACAACAUACUGCAUAAACCUUUAGGUACACUGCAUCCAUGGCAUGGACACUGCAUUCACCUUCAGCGACACAUAGGGAGACAUUACAACCCCUGCAGGGACACUGUUUCCAGCUGAUGUGGAAAUGCAGGCGCACUGCAAUCACUGCAGGAUCACUGCAUCGUCCCUCAUGGGCACUGAAUCCUACUUCACAACAUACUGCAUCCACCUUGAGUCACACUGCAGACACUGUAUGGGCUCAGCAUCCACCUCCAGGGACAUGGCAGGGGUCUCUGGAACCACUGCAGCUACACUGCAUCCAGUUGAAGUG
ensembl:lncRNA